AGCGUUGCUCGGAAUCACUGGGCGUAAAGCGCACGUAGGCGGCUUUCUAAGUCAGGGGUGAAAUCCUGGAGCUCAACUCCAGAACUGCCUUUGAUACUGGAGAGCUUGAGUCCGGGAGAGGUGAGUGGAACUCCGAGUGUAGAGGUGAAAUUCGUAGAUAUUCGGUGGAACACCAGUGGCGAAGGCGACUCGCUGGACUGAUACUGACGCUGAGGUGCGAAAGCGUGGGGAGCAAACAGG
rnacentral:rRNA from 1 species